CCUGGAUGAUUGGCAGUCUUAUUACGGCCCUGAAUGCUGUGGCAGGUUUUGCAGGUCCCCUGUCUGGACCAUUAGAUGGUAUUUUUGGAACUCGCACUGUGGUCAUAAUGAGUGGUCUCCUUAGUGGCUCGUCUCUGAUACUCUCGUCUUUCUCAACCAGCACACUGCAUCUGGCACUAACGUUAUCCUUAUUGACAGGGCCUGGUUUGUCUAUCAUCUCUAUUUUGACCAGAGCAAUGGCCAGUCAUCACUUCACCACAGGCUAUGCCAUGGCUACUGGUAUUGGGAGUUCAGGCCAUGCAGUGGGCAUGAUGCUCAUUGGGCCCCUGACUCAAGUACUUUUAGACACCUAUGGCUGGCGAGGUGCUAUGCUACUUCUAGGGGCUAUCAGCAUGCAUCUUGGUGCAUUUGGCUUCCUGCUACGAUCAGCACCAGAGUCAACACGGGCACGAGACAAGUACCGACCAAUCGUGACCAGGGAAGAAGAAUGAGUCGCCUACCAGCCAAUCAAGAAGCUUUAAUGCUAAGAAGAAAUCACGACUCCACAUCUUAAAGGAAACUAUCUUUGCGCGAGUGACUCUUCUUGGGUGGGCAGUUUGUGGCCGCGUCGAGUUCUGGAUUGCUGUUCCCGUUUUUGGGAGUGAUUAUUUUGUGUCUAAUAUGUGGAUAAUCUACAUUGUGUCUUAUGCCAAGGCUAAAGGUUUUUCUGGAUACGAAGCUGUGACGUUUAGUCUAGCUGGGGGAAUAGGAAAUGUGGUUUUCAAGAUUGUCUUUAGCCUGAUUUUAUACAAAGGGCUGCUGAAGAUGCGACCCAGUUUGUUUGUGACCACCAUUGCCUGCUCUGUGACUUUGCUGACCCUUCCUUGGAUGAGCACAUACUGGAUUAUGAUGAUCAACGCUUUCCUCUACUACGGCCUCAGCGGAAUGAUAGCAAUACUGGGUGACAUUUACACUCGUGAUCUGUUCGGAGAUGAAAAUUUAGUUCCUGCUUUCAGCUGGCUAGCUGUUUUUACAGCAGCCUUGACAAUUGCGUUUGGCUUUUUCCCAGGGUUGAUGUUCGACCUUACUGGAAGCUACGACCUGGCAUUCGUCAUCUUGGGAUGUGUAUCGAUUCUACCGCUGGUGUCGCUCUUUGCGGAAGCGCUUUUAAGCCGACGAAAGGGGCGACCACUUUAAAUGUCCUCGACAUUGUUGGUCACAUAUUCGCUUAGUGGCUAAGA
rnacentral:misc_RNA from 1 species